UGGGGAAUAUUGCACAAUGGGCGAAAGCCUGAUGCAGCAACGCCGCGUGAGUGAUGAAGGCCUUCGGGUUGUAAAGCUCUGUCUUUUGGGACGAUAAUGACGGUACCAAAGGAGGAAGCUACGGCUAACUACGUGCCAGCAGCCGUGGUAAUACGUAGGUGGCAAGCGUUGUCCGGAUUUUACUGGGCGUAAAGGAUGCGUAGGCGGAUUUUUUAAGUGAGAUGUGAAAUACCCGGGCUUAACUUGGGUGCUGCAUUUCAAACUGGGAAUCUAGAGUGCGGGAGAGGAGAAUGGAAUUCCUAGUGUAGCGGUGAAAUGCGUAGAGAUUAGGAAGAACACCAGUGGCGAAGGCGAUUCUCUGGACCGUAACUGACGCUGAGGCAUGAAAGCGUGGGUAGCAAACAGGAUUAGAUACCCUGGUAGUCCACGCCGUAAACGAUGAGUACUAGGUGUAGGAGGUAUCGACCCCUUCUGUGCCGCAGUUAACACAAUAAGUACUCCGCCUGGGAAGUACGAUCGCAAGAUUAAAACUCAAAUGAAUUGACGGGGUCAUAGCUGUUUCCU
rnacentral:rRNA from 1 species